AGCCGAGCUCUGGGGUGUCUCCACCAUGGCCUGGACUCCUCUCUGGCUCACCCUCCUCAGUCUUUGCACAGGUUCUGUGGUUUCUUCUGAGCUGACUCAGGACCCUGCAGUGUCUGUGACUUUGGGACAGACAGUCAGGAUCACCUGCCAGGGAGACAGCCUCAGAAGCUAUUAUGCGAGCUGGUACCAGCAGAAGCCAGGCCAGGCCCCUGUGCUGGUCAUCUAUGGUAACAACAACCGGCCCUCAGGGAUCCCAGAGCGAUUCUCUGGCUCCAGCUCAGGAAACACAGGUUCCUUGACCAUCACUGGCUCAGGUGGAAGAUGAGGCUGACUAUUACUGUAACUCCUGGGACAGCAAUGGUACCCAUCCCACAGUGACACAGACAGACGGGGAAGUGAGACAGAAACCCCUUCACUAUCUGUGUCACCUUCUCUCUCCAGUCCCAGCAGGACUGUGAGCAGAGCCAUAAGCACGGCUGGCCCACAUGGAUCUGAGACCUCCAGGCUGCCCUUCCCUCAAUCCCUCCAGGUAGGCUCUGCAG